UACGUAGGCAGCGAGCGUUGUUCGGAGUUACUGGGCGUAAAGAGUGCGUAGGCGGUUUUCUAAGUUUGGUGUGAAAUCUCCCGGCUCAACUGGGAGGGUGCGCCGAAGACUGGAAGGCUUGAGUAUGGGAGAGGUAAGCGGAAUUCCUGGUGUAGCGGUGAAAUGCGUAGAGAUCCGGAAGAACACCGGUGGCGAAGGCGGCCUGCUGGGCAGUGGCUGACACUGAGGCGCGACAGCGUGGGGAGCAAACAGG
rnacentral:rRNA from 1 species